GCCGCCUUCCGAAAGCCCUCCGCUCCCUUCCCUCAUUGGGCGCCGCCAUGACGGGCCAGCCAGCGCCGGAAGCGGAAGCUGCGCCGCGCGGUCCGACCAGAAGGAAGACUGCGGGUGGUCACGUGGGAGGGGUGGUCAGGGAGUUCCGGAACGGGACAAGCUGCAAGGACCGCAGGGCUUACUCUGCUACAGCCUUCCUGCUCCAGUAGGAUCAUUCCAGAGUACAUGGCACAGAAAACCAGAAUGGUUUGGAGCUCAAAGGGAGCAGAGAUCUCAGCAGCCUUGAGAAGAUCUGGACAAGUUAUGCCAUGGGGAUCCAUCCCUAUUCACAUUGCUGGUUAGGUAUCUGGCAGGGAGGACAAUUCCCUGCAGUUUAUCAUUAGCCAGAAAAGGUAAGGUUGACUCUUUCUAUGUUCCAUCUGGUAAGGGAAGAGCUUGGCCUCUGCUCUUGUGGUCAGGAACAUCUGAAACAAACUGGAAAAAGGGAAAAAGUGAGAGUCUGGACUAAAUUCAGGGGCAGAAAUCCCCAUCAUAGCAUGAUGCCUCUGUGGCACCUGGAGGUACAAAAAUAAGGUAUUGGACCCUGCUGAGACAGGGGAGGAUGACUUUACUGCUGGAGGAGCCAUCAGUCCCUCACCACCAGAGACUUGCUUCCAUAUUUAUCCCAUGUGGGUGGGAACCACUGCAAUAUUUUAAGGGAAUCAAUGGCCUCAUGUUAACAUCACAUCCUUGUCAUCUGACAAGCACCAGUACAGGCAUGCAGGAGGCUCUUAACUAAUCUGUUGGUUUCCAAAGAUUUCUAGGUUUCCUCCAAGGAAAAAGACUGUAGAUACCUAGCCUUACCUGCUCUGUCCUAAGGCUUCCAGCUUUUCUGGCUGGUCAGGUGAACCCUGCUGGCUGUGGAGCCCAGGAUGGAGUUGGGGUCCUGGGUGUCACCCUUGUGCGCUAAGGGAAGUGCCCAGGCAAUGUUUGAGUGGAGCAGGGAGUGUUGCCAGCACUCCAGGGAGAUUUCAGGCUUUGGGAGUGACACCAGAAGGGCAGCUGGAGAGACUCCAUCCAGAGAGAGAAUCCAUCUGGAGAGAAUCCAGACUUGACACCUCCCAUGGCUCUGGGGUCAAGUGAUUCUCCUCUAUGACCAGGUCAAAGCCCAGAUUAUCCACAAUGGUUGUGCUUUUUGUAACAAGAAAAUGUUGCAGAACUACCCUGCCUGCUGGCAGUCAGCACAGAGAGACUUGCCAAAAAGAGAUUAUUAUCAUUAUUAUUAUUAUUAUUAUUAUUAUUAUUAUUAAUAAUAAUAAUAAUAAUAAUAAUAAUAAUAAUAAUGAUGAUGAUGAUGAUGAUGAUGAUGAUGAUGUUGUCUCCUUUGCCUUUCACCCACACCUUCCAUCUCAGGAUAUGAAGAAUGAGACUCCCUCCCCCCAAGCAGGGUUGGAUGCUGAGGCCAAGGAAGAUUAAAUUACCUUUCCAUGGCCACUCAUAACCCAUCACUUCCUUCAAUGCUCCACCAAGCAUACAGACACAGCCCUUCCUCCUAUCCCCUGCUGAGGGUUGGCACUGCUGAGAUACACUGAGUUCACACUGUGCCUCUCUGCCAUAUAAUGCAAAGCAAAAAUUCAACCCAAGAUGAAGGGGAGUGCAGAAAUAGAGAGAAUUUAAGCUGUGCUGAGGGCAUAGUGUGUCCCACGCCAGAGUGACCCAAAGAGAGUUGCAGAGACCCAGCAGCCUCCCUGUGUUUCUGUUGCUGGGUAGCUGAAGGAGAGGCCAUGUAGGAGCAGAGAGCAAGGAGGCGAAUGCCAGUCCCCUCCUGUGAUGUGUCCUGGGCUUCCUGCAGCUCCUCGAUGGCUAAGCUGGAAUCUACAUUUUGGAUUUCAGCCAUGUCCCCAGGACUGUGGGGGAAGGUGGUGUUAGUCAGUGGGGAGAUACCAUAGAGUCAUGGAAUGGUUGGGGUUGGAAGGGAUCUUAAAGACCAUCUCAUUCCACCCACUGCCAUGCGCAGGGACAUCUUCCACUGUCCCAGGUUGCUCCAAGCCCUGCUCAACCUGGCCUUGAGGAUGGGGCAGCCACAGCUGCUCUGGGCACCCUGUGCCAGUGUUAUGAGUAAAAGAGUUACUAAAUUUUUUUUUUUUAAAGGGUUGCAGAAUUACAAGUUAAAUUGAGAGCUGAUUGUUGGCCGAGGAAGAUUCUUUGUUAGCUGAAUGUUGAAAUCACCUGUUAAGUAUCAGUCAUUAACCAUCUCUUGUUGAGAAUUCUCCUUUCUCAGUACCACCCUUGCCUCCUGUGGGGCGGAUGGCAUUCCGCCCCCCCCACCCCCCCUUCCCCGGCCGGUGGGAAGGGAGGAGACCUCAGGAGUCUAUGCAAAUUACCUCAAACCCAGAGUGCAAUAGGGGAGGACCCCCACCAUAUUUACCGAAAAACCCCCAAAGCAGCGAGCCAAUAUAGAAGUAAGUGAUCAAAGAAGUGUCUGGACAUCAGGGGCAAGAGUCCAGAGCCUGAAGAGAUGCUAAGAACUUUGGUUGUCCCUCGCCCUAAGCACAGAGGACCUCAGCUAGGGCCAGGACCCGGGAUGGCAAGCUUAGAGGGAGAUCACUCUGUAUACUCCGUUGCUUAGGUGAGAAUGAGACGCCUAGCUCUGCUUCUUGGUGGAGGGAGCUGCCAUUUUGUCCUCCUUACCACCCAUAGGAGAGAUCCCUCGGGCCUUCCCCGCGUUUAGCUGAUAACUUGAUAAAGGCCUUAAGAGGAGAAAGAUCUCCUGCCAUGAUUAGCUCACCAGGGUCUCUCCACUCUCUCAAGAAGGAAUUUUUUCCCAACAUCCCAUCUAACCCUGCCCUCUGGCAGUGGGAAGCCGUUCUCCCUUGUCCUGUGAUUCUUGGCCCUUGUUUGAAAGUCUCUCUCCAUCUUUCCUGUCAGCUUCUUCAGGUAGAGCAAGAUCACAAUGAAGUCACUCUGAAGCUUAUUUUCUUUGAGGCUGAACAAUCUCAAUUCUCUCAGAAAAUAUGUUUCUGGAAGGGGAGCCCAAAAUACAACAACCUAAAUUAUUUUGUGAUUUUGUGCCAAGGAAAAUGCAACAUUUUGGCUUUUUGUUUUUAAUUCCAGCUCUUUCUUCUCUUCCUCUCCAAAUGUAAAGUUUUCUACCUAGCAGAUGCUCCAGAUCCUGAACUAUCCUGAAGUGCCGAUGUACUCACCAUCUACAGUCAUGUUCUUCAGUACCUCCUGGAGACUCUGUUCUGGAAAAUGGAUUUCUGUUGAGAGUGUUGGGACGUCAGAGUUCCAACAUUGAUCUGCUUCCCUAGAAUUAAUGGGGAGAUGUGUUGCAUUUCAGAAAAUUACCUAGACAUGUAGAAAACCACUUUCUGGGUUGUAAAUCAGCCAAAUGCACCUUUUGUCAUCUUC